ensembl:rRNA 5S_rRNA 5S ribosomal RNA
GUCUACGGCCAUACCACCCUGAACGCGCCCGAUCUCGUCUGAUCUCGGAAGCUAAGCAGGGUCGGGCCUGGUUAGUGCCCAGAUGGGGACCGCCUGGGGCCUACCAGGUGCUGCUGGGC